UGAGGAAUAUUGGUCAAUGUGCGAGAGCCUGAACCAGCCAAGUAGCGUUCAGGAUGACGUCCCUAUGUGUUGUAAACUGCUUUUAUAUGGGAAUAAAGUGAGGGACGUGUCCCUUAUUGCAUGUAACAUAUGAAUAAGGACCGGCUAAUUCCGUGCCAGCCACCGCGGUAAUACAAAAGGUCAAGGCGUUAUCCGCAUUUAUUUGGUUUAAAGGGAGCGUAGGCUGUUUGUUAAGCGUGUUGUUAAAUGUAAGAGCUCAACUUUUAGAUUGCAGCGCGAACAGGCAGACUUGAGUGCGUACAACGUAGGCGGAAUUCAUGGUGUAGCGGUGAAAUGCUUAGAUAGAAUGACGAACUACGAUUGCGAAGGCAGCUUACGGGAUCGGAACUGACGCUAAAGCUUGAAGGUGCGGGUAUCGAACAGG
rnacentral:rRNA from 1 species